rnacentral:lncRNA from 12 species
CACUGGAAAAGAGAAAACGCCACUGCACCGGUUGUGUCACCUAUUUCUAGUUACCUCUGGCCAUGCAGCAUCCCAGGGAUGCAGGGAUGCACUGGACCAGGCAGGAUUAACAGCAGGAGGUGCUUCCAUGAAAACCAAGCACCAGGAAAGGACUGAUGUGUUUGGAUUUGUUUUAUAGCCUAAGAUGCAAAGCAGGUCCUGCAGGACUCCUAAGGAUUCCAGGCACCAGACAGCUGUGUUUAGCCUUGCCUGUUACAGCAACGUCAAGGAAACCUAUCAUAACUGGCAAGCCUUCUAAACACAUGAGUGCUUAUGGAUUACAAAAGGAGAAAACAUGCAGAUUAAAAUAAACUGUUACCAGACAGAAAGACACCCACCCUCUUCCCCUAUAACUUCUUUAAAAAGCCCUGGGA